GUUAUCACUAGUAACACCAGAAUACCAGAUAAAGAUGUUUCCAUUUGAUAUGCAAAGCUGUUUCCCUGUAUAGAGAUGACCGUAGAUAACCUGAUAACGCAAAUUGUGUCUUGACCGUUCCAUGAACCCGCCUUGAAGUGUGAAGCCGUUUUUCGGUUCUGCUUUAAGGUGUGAAAACGUCUUCCUGAAAAGCGCUUAGUAGCGCAACGGACGCACGAACAUGCUUUGAUCAAGUUUCCAUACCGAGACUGUGAUCGACGCAAGAUAAACCCCAGUGACGCACAUUGCUUCUGCAAAAGACAGUAUAUAAGCCAAGAUGUUUUAACAGAAAAAAAGUAAGUAGAGGGAAAAACGCGCCUACUUCUUGUUUCUUGCUCACACACGAAGACGGAGAGUCUAGCUCUUUUAACCUUUAGGGUUUGAACGAUAUAACUGCUUUUAUUUUUCUAUUCAAUUGUUGUAAACCUUUUCGCUUUUUUAUAUAAAUAAAAAUUCUCCUUUUUCGGGAACAAAAGACCAUUUGUUUCCGGGGGAUUCCUUUCCACUGAGAGGCCUCCUUUCAGGGGCUGAAUGACAAGAACACCGCUUCGAAACCUGCAGACACCGUCUUCAUACGAAUCUCCUUCAGAGCCACCAACUGCCCAUUGAUCCUUAACACAAGUACACCACAUACUCCACAUGGUACUAGCCACAGCAUAAUAUUCCACAUAGUACUAACCACAGCAGAGUACUCUGUUGCGUGGAUAAGUACCUGCUGAUGCCUUUGUACACAGAGGCGUACGCUCCUUCUCCCAGCUUUUCCAGACUCAGGCAGGGUUGUUCUUACCCAUGUGAAGUCGUCCUGGAGGCGCUGCCCCCCCAGCGGGUCGCUGUUGCUGCGUCCUCGCUGCGAGGACCGCCGGACCUGCAGGGUGUGGAACCAGUGGGGCUGAGCCCCGGAGUUGGGGGGGCAGGACCGGACCGGAUCCAGCUGGAAUAUAGAGACCAGAUUAGAAGGAUCUUCUCUACUAAAACAUAAUAUAAAAUACUGAAGUAACCACAGGGAAGAGGUAGAGUACUGUUACUCAGAGAGUACUGAUACUCAGAGUACACUGUUCCUUGAAGCGUUAUGUUACUCAAAGAGGAGUACUGUUAAGAGUUGUUGAGAGUAGGUACUAAUAUAUGAAGAGUACUGUUACUCAAAGAGAAGUGUUAAUCAAAGCGGAGUAUACUGUUCCUUAAAGAGUUAUGUUACUUAAAGUUACAGUACUGUUACUCAGAGAGUGAGUACUGAUACAUACAGAGUACAAAGUAUAAAGAGGAGUAUGGAUACUCCAAGAGUAGGCACUGAUAAAUAAAAGGUAGUUAUUCAAAGAGGAGUUUUGUUACCUAAAGUUACUAAGAGUUACUCAAACGCAAGUACAGUUACUUAAGAAGGAUUAAUGUUACUUAACGAGGAGUACUACUGCUCAAACAGAAGUAGUCAGUUUAGUAAAAUACCUCAGCAGGAGGGAGGGAGGUUGAACUGCUCUUUCUCAAGCUGAGCUCCUCCAUCUUCACCUUGUUUUCUUCUUCGUCUUCUUCUUCCUCCUUCCUUCCUCUCUCCUCAUCAUCAUCAUCAUCUACGACCACACUACAGCCGCACCUCUUCACCCACCACCGGGUCUCCCUGACCCAGCGACACCAGUCCUCCAUCUUCUCUUCCUCUUCUUCUCUCUCUGUCUAUCACAUGCUUCAGGAGUAGCAAACAGAGUCUCAUGACCGGAUCAGUGUCUACGAGUAGGACAACAGAGUGCAUUCAGUGGGCUAACGCACUCCCCCCUCCCCUCCCCCGGGGGCCACGUCAGGGACUAGAGACCGGAUCAAUAGACAGGAUAUAAACCAUUAAGAGGACUGCCUGUAUUUAGCCUGUACUUCUAGUAUUUAUACCUGUAUCUGUACCUGUAUGUGUACCUGUACCUGGGACUGUACCUGUAGUAGUUGUAGUGACCUGUAACUGUACUUGUACCUGUGGUACUUCUAUGUGUAGCCUACUUGUUCUUGCGAGAUAUAUAUAAAGAGAUAUUUUUCA